rnacentral:snRNA from 1 species
GGAUGUGAGGGCAAUCUGGCUGCGACAUCUGUCGCCCCAUUGAUCGCGAGGGUUGAUUCGACUGAUCUGGCUGGCUAGGUGGGUGUCCCCUUCCUCCCUCACCGCUCCAUGUGCAUCCCUCCCCAUCCCUGAUAGAGGAGGACCCGUCUUUGGUCAAGGGUAUACCAGUAGCUGCACUCCCCUACUAGAACCUCCAAACAAGCUCUCAAGGGCCAUAUAUGGUUCUUAAUCCUAUACUCCUAAGAUGAAACUUGACUAGAAACUCCAAACUCAGGUGUGUUCUCUUUGA